rnacentral:rRNA from 1 species
GAUGAACGCUGGCGGCGUGCUUAACACAUGCAAGUCGAACGGAAAGGCUCCUGCUUGCAGGGGUACUCGAGUGGCGAACGGGUGAGUAACACGUGGGUGAUCUGCCCUGCACUUCGGGAUAAGCCUGGGAAACUGGGUCUAAUACCGGAUAGGACGAUGGUUUGGAUGCCAUUGUGGAAAGUUUUUCGGUGUGGGAUGAGCUCGCGGCCUAUCAGCUUGUUGGUGGGGUAAUGGCCUACCAAGGCGUCGACGGGUAGCCGGCCUGAGAGGGUGUACGGCCACAAUGGGACUGAGAUACGGCCCAGACUCCUACGGGAGGCAGCAGUGGGGAAUAUUGCACAAUGGGCGCAAGCCUGAUGCAGCGACGCCGCGUGGGGGAUGACGGCCUUCGGGUUGUAAACUCCUUUCGCUAGGGACGAAGCGGAAGUGACGGUAACUGGAGAAGAAGCACCGGCUAACUACGUG